rnacentral:rRNA from 1 species
GACGAACGCUGGCGGCGUGCUUAACACAUGCAAGUCGAGCGGUAAGGCCCUUUCGGGGGUACACGAGCGGCGAACGGGUGAGUAACACGUGGGUGACCUGCCCUCAGCUCUGGGAUAAGCCUGGGAAACCGGGUCUAAUACUGGAUAUGACUCCAUGACGCAUGUUGUGGGGUGGAAAGCCUUGUGCGGCUGAGGAUGGGCCCGCGGCCUAUCAGCUUGUUGGUGGGGUGANGGCCUACCAAGGCGACGACGGGUAGCCGGCCUGAGAGGGCGACCGGCCACACUGGGACUGAGACACGGCCCAGACUCCUACGGGAGGCAGCAGGUGGGGAAUCUUGCGCAAGUGGGCGAAAGCCUGACGCAGCGACGCCGC